rnacentral:rRNA from 1 species
GUGGGGAAUAUUGCACAAUGGGGGAAACCCUGAUGCAGCCAUGCCGCGUGUGUGAAGAAGGCCUUCGGGUUGUAAAGCACUUUUGCAUUCGAGGAAGACAGCACGUAAAUAAACGUGUUAUUUGACGUUAGAGUGUGAAUAAGCACCGGCAAACUCCGUGCCAGCAGCCGCGGUAAUACGGAGGGUGCGAGCGUUAAUCGGAAUGACUGGGCGUAAAGGGCACGCAGGUGGCGAGAUAAGUUGGAUGUGAAAUUCCCGUGCUUAACAUGGGGACUGCAUCCAAAACUGUUGAACUGGAGUACUGUAGAGGGAGGUAGAAUUCCACGUGUAGCGGUGAAAUGCGUAGAGAUGUGGAAGAAUACCAGAGGCGAAGGCGGCCUCCUGGACAGAUACUGACACUGAGGUGCGAAAGCGUGGGUAGCAAACAGGAUUAGAAACCCCAGUAGUCC